rnacentral:ribozyme from 1 species
CACGCAACACUUAGAAAUUAUAAAUUUAGAAAUGCUUUGAGCUUAAUUAACCAAAGGCAUAAAGCACGAAAGAAAAAGCAUGAAAGCAUUCACUACCCAUAUUCAUUUACAUCGAUAAUUCACUUGUUUUCCUUUUACCUCUUUUUUUCUUCUUUU